GAUGAAGAACGUAGCGAAAUGCGAUAAGUAGUGUGAAUUGCAGAAUUCAGUGAAUCAUCGAAUCUUUGAACGCACAUUGCGCCCUUUGGUAUUCCUUAGGGCAUGCCUGUUCGAGCGUCAUUUAAACCUUCAAGCUAAGCUUGGUGUUGGGUGACUGUCCGCUUCACGGCGGACUCGCCUCAAAAUUAUUGGCGGCCGGUACAUUGGCUUCGAGCGCAGCAGAAACGCGAACUCGGGCCCGUCGUAUUGGCUCCCAGAAGCUAUCUUCACAAUUUUGUCCUCGGAUCAGGUAGGGAUACCCGCUGAACUUAAGCAUAUCAAUAAGCGGAGGA
rnacentral:misc_RNA from 1 species